ACGGCUGAAAAGAGGAGCAGCCCACAGUAGCUCACUGUGGUCCUACUGAUGCUGCGAAUGGGAGGCCAAAAUCGGGUACGUUUCGGUUUUUCGAAAAGCUCAAGGCCACUGCAACGCCCAGUCUCCCAUUCGAGAGCUAAAUCCUAUCGCGUGGACAGCCCGUGUGGAUGAGUUCAGACCGAAGAAGGGGCACCACUUGGCAAACAUAGUGUUCGUGUGGACGAGCUAGAGGCCGAAUGCUUGGAUGGCUCAUACACAGACAUCAACGGGACUUUGCUUCACAAGGUAACUCGAGAAUAAACUUUCCUCGUAAAUGUUAGUUUCACGUUAUCUAAGUCAAUGGAGGGUGUUACCAAAGCUCGGGAUAGGAUUCCGGGUUUGAUCCUUGAAUGUUUUAUCGGUAAAAGUUUUGUCUUAUUGGUUAUCAACGCUUCCGCUCGCUUAACCCAACACCAACAACAGCUUCUAUGAUCCAUGAAGAGUGCAGAAAAAAAAGUCAUUUGCAAUAUAUGGGCGAUGAAUACUAUCAAGAUUCUAUUAUGGUGGAGAUAAAGGGGUAAAGACUGAACUAGUGAAAAUUCUGACCGUGUUUGCAACCAUCGACUUCUUAAGCAACUUCUUCCAAGGAAAAAUUCCAAAAGCGAUUGGACAUCUGAAGGCACUCAGGGCACUCGACUUGCCCCACAGCACUCUGACGGGCAUCAUCACUUCUUCUUUGGGGAAUGUGACUGAACUCAAGUGCUUAUAGGAUUGAUCCCGCAAUGUACGCAGUUCAACACAUUCAAGCACUCCUUUGACGGGACUCCAGGACUGUGUGGGGGUCCUUUAAAACCAUGUGGGAGUGAUGCAAGACAAACACACCCCUCAGCUCCCGAUGAAGAAGAGGAGGCAGACUCCAGCAGCAGCAUUGAAUGGAGAGCGGUACCAAUAGGCUAUGGAUGCGACUUGUGCUUGGGAUUUCAGCAGGUUAUACUAUGCUGGAAACCAAGAGACCUAGAUGGUUAAUGAGAAUCGUUGAGCGGAAAGGAUGCAGGAAAACAAACAGGCUAAAGAGAACUGUCGCUCCAAGAAAUCAUGCCAGAGGUGCACUAGAAGUCGAUGAGAUGGGGGACAAGGCAAACAAAUGGUGCAGGACUGACAUUCAAUUAUGAUAAAACAAAGCAUUACUUCUCUGUUUUGUGGAUGCUCUUGUUCAUUAACAUGUGGUUUUUGGUGUUUAUUGUAGAUCCUAUCAGGAAGAUGAGCAGUUAUUUUGAUUAUCAGUAAAACUUUCGUCUUCCUGCUGUCAAAAGAACAUAACUAUAUAUAGUAUGGA